CUGACGUCUUAUCUGAGUUCUCUGGGGGUUGAGGAAGGUGGCCUAGUCCCCUCUCCUCGCCUCUUGAGAGCAGUAGCCACUGCCCUCUCUUAAGUUUAUGGAAGCAGCAGCCCAUCGCCGCAGCUCAAGUUUGUUUCCUUUUCAUCCAGGCGCCAAACCCCGGGCUGAUCACAUCCCUGCUGCGGGCUUAAAUAGAGUUAAGCUAUUUCGGUGCCCCACAGGGUAGUGCACAUCAGCGCCCUGGAUCGCAUACUUUCCAGAAGCGUCGCUGAACCUGGCGACUGGACUCUGGCCGAGGACCUGGCAGAAGCGCCAGGGCAGGGUCACCGCUG
rnacentral:lncRNA from 1 species